UUUCCGUUGGUUUACCGCCUUGUUGAGUUAGCAUUAAUUUUACCUGUUGCAACUACAACAGUGGAAAGGGCCUUCUCAGCAAUGAGCAUUAUCAAGACCGACUUGAGGAACAGGAUGGGUGAUGAUUGGUUGAAUCACAGAAUGGUAUGCUACAUUGAGCGAGAUGUAUUUGUUAGUAUUGAAGAGUCAAAGAUGAUUGAGCGAUUUCAGGAUUAUCGCACACGCAAAGGCAUUUCACCUCGUCCUAGAGGUAAUGUUUCAUAUUUUGCAUCCAGUAGCAAAUUUUUUUACUUGCUUUCUAUGCACUUACUUGCAUACCAAAUUUUAUACUUGAAGGUGAAUCAUCUGUUACAAUUGAAGAUGAAAUCACGGGAAGCUAAAAUCAAACAACCCUUUGAUUUGGUACCCUCUUUUGUAUUAUUUAUCCUUUAUAUUGUCUUUUGUUAUGUGUUACAUUACCAGAUGAAUCACUAUUAA
rnacentral:rRNA from 1 species